CAGUCGCCGCUGUAAUACAGAGGGUGCAAGCGUUAAUCGGAAUUACUGGGCGUAAAGCGCGCGUAGGUGGUUUGUUAAGUUGGAUGUGAAAUCCCCGGGCUCAACCUGGGAACUGCAUCCAAAACUGGCAAGCUAGAGUAUGGUAGAGGGUGGUGGAAUUUCCUGUGUAGCGGUGAAAUGCGUAGAUAUAGGAAGGAACACCAGUGGCGAAGGCGACCACCUGGACUGAUACUGACACUGAGGUGCGAAAGCGUGGGGAGCAAACAGGAUUAGAGACCCCAGUAGUCCCUGUCUCUUAUAU
rnacentral:rRNA from 1 species